GACGAAGGUGGCAAGCGUUGCUCGGAAUCACUGGGCAUAAAGCGCGCGUAGGCGGAUCGCUAAGUCAGGGGGUGAAAUCCCAGGGCUCAACCCUGGAACUGCCUUUGAUACUGACGAUCUGGAGAUCGGGAGAGGUUGGUGGAAUUCCGAGUGUAGAGGUGAAAUUCGUAGAUAUCUGGAGGAACACCGGUGGCGAAGGCGACAUCCUGGACCGGUAUUGACGCUGAGGCGCGAAAGCCAGGGGAGCAAACGGG
rnacentral:rRNA from 1 species